CUCAGAAAUCUGCAUCUCUGAUGUGAACAGGGUAUGUAAUGAUGACAUAAUAAAAAUGGAGGAGAAAGGAGAGAAACCUCAGAAAACAACUUGCCAAACAAAUCCUUCCAGCAAUAUUGGGCUGAAAGAAAAGAAAAAACAGACCCUGAAACUAUGUGAACCAAACAGGAAGAAUUUCUCAUGUCAAAAAAUAGCUGCUGAAAACAUGCAAUAUACAUACUCUCAGAAUUUUUUUUGGUCAGAGGAAGAGAGGUAUCCGCUAAACACGUUGUCUCCUGUGCAGGAGAGGGAUGUGUGCUUAAACAAACUGUUCCUGCCAGGGAGCAAUUUUUAUGAGUGUUUCUGUCAUCUGUCACCACUGGAAGGUGGUAAUGAAUGUAAUGUAAAAAUAUAUGCACUGGAAAAAGUAGUGGCUAUGUGUUCCCAGAGGAUAUUUCUACUGAUGGAAGAGAAUGAAAAUUACUCCAAAAAAGUCUGUAUAUUGCAACAGGAGAAUGAGAGAUAUGCUCAGCUAAUGUGUGCACUGGAAGAAGAGAUGGAUGCGUAUUUUCAAUACAUUUUAGCGGUAGAUGAAGCUAAUGUUGUUUCAUUCCAAAACUUACUUAAUGAGAAAGAAGUUGCUGGUGGAUGUUAUAAUAGCUCAUCAGAAGAAAGCACCAUGAGCUCAGGAGCAUUUUUUGUUGAAACCUCUAAAAACCUCUCAUGUAUUGAAGAGAAAAAUAGGAAUUCUGGUAAAGACCCACUGACAGUUGCAUCGAAUAAACUUCCCAGGAGUGUUUUAUCCCUGGAUGGAAGGAAAAAGAGAUAUUUCCAGAUGCUUUCUGACCUGAAAGAAGAAAGAAGCAGAUGCUUCAAAGAAAUAGCUAAAUUAUUACAAGACAAGGAGAAUUAUGUAGCAAAAUAUAAUGAAUUAAUACAAGAGAGAGAGGGUAAUUUACAAAGAAUAUCUCUUUUAGAAGGUGAAAAAGAAACUUUAUUGGGAUGUUUGGCAGAAGUAAGGUGUGAACAAGACAAAUACAGGACCUUGGUUUCAGAACUUCAAGAAUGCAAAACCAGCAGCUAUCAAACUAUUUCUGAUUUACAGAAGGAAAAACAUGUACUGAAAAGAGAAAUAGACAGAAUCAAGAAAGAAGCUUCAGAACAGCUUGGGGAAUUUCAGAAAGCAAAUGCAAACUUUAUUUUAGAAAAUAAUAAAUUGAAAGGAUUAAUGUCAUCUUUGGGUUUCAACUAUGAAGAGCUGAGAAAAGGUAAAAGUUUGGAAACAAAGGAAAAGAUAGUAAAACUAAAAGAAGAAAGUCAACAACAUGGUCUUAAGCCAAAGAAAGUUAAAACAGCAUGUAGUGCAACUCAGACUGAAGAAGGAGGAGUUCUGGUUGUAGAUCCCUCAAACUUUUUGCCUGGAAAAGAGGACAGCAUGUUUCAAAGCUACAGUGAGAUGAAAGAGCAAGUCAAAAAGGCAGAAGAGGAACUCAAAGUACAGCAAAAGGAUUUAGAAAAAUCAAAAAAAGAGGCUCAGAAGUGGUACAGAGAACUUGGCUUUGCUGAAUCAAGAUACGAAGAAAUCAAAACCCGUUUGACACAGGCUCUCUCAGAAUUAGACCAUCUUAAACAAGAAGUAGGGGACAAAAUGCCUGGAAAGCAGAGCUGCAAAUUAAUGCCUGUGUACACUGUGGAAGAUGCUCAUGAAAUAGAGGAGAAUAAAAUAGCCAGGAAGAGAUUACAGCAGCAAGUGCUGACCUUGAAAGCCCAGCUCAGGGACCAGGCUGCAUUACAAAAUCAGUUUCACGACUUGCAGAAUGAAGUGGAACUCCUUCAGGCUCAGCUAUGUGAAAAGGAAAAAGAACUUCAGAAGAGAAGGUCUGAAGUGAAGUUGACACUAGCUCCUCUGAAGGCUAAGCUGGCUUGCCUCACCCGAAAGUGCCAGGAAAGGAACAGCUUGAUAACAAGGAUGAAUGAUGAAUUUCACAGGCGAGGAAUUAUUAACUCUGCAUUUGAUGAAGAGGUGAAAAACUUGGUGAAUGACACGACUCUGGCAGAGUACACAGUUGCUUUUACACCAAUGUGUGAUCGAGAGAUGCUGCCUUCUUCCACAGACAUUUCACAGGCCAGCGGACAGCCAGAGGAUCGUCAGACAUAUGUCAAAGUGAAUGGGAAGACUGGGUCAAUACCUGCAAACUCUCAGCAAGAGGUGGAGAGCAUCCACAGCUCUCACAUCACUCCAAAUGCAUACGCCGGUUCUCCUAAAAAAUUAACAAGUCCAGAGAGGAUCAUAGCCUUGCAUCGAGAACUAAGACAAAACCAGCGCAAAAAUUGCCAGAUACCUUCAGUUGUCUCCUCCACCUCAGACCUGAAAGAUCAUGGCUGCAACCUGCCCACGAUCCACAAGGAAGCCCCUUGGCCUCUGCAGUCAAGGAUGAAGGAUGCACUGGUGCCUCCGGAGUGUGAUGCUUUCUGGGCCAUGAAGGGGAGGGAUCGGUUGUCGAAAUGUGAUGAUGUAUUUUGGGGUCAAAUAGGAAAUCAGCAUGCAGGUGCUAUUCCCCAGGGAAUGAAACAGAAAAAUGCCAUUAUGAAUAAGGCAUGGCUCUCUAGAGAAAAAACAGAUGGCUCAACCUCAGCUACCACAGCAAAAAGCUAUUUGUCAGAUGUGUUGUCAGCAAGUAAUAAAGGUCGAAAUCCUGUGGGGAGAAAUCAGCUGCACGAGAAAGAGUAAAACCUGCAGAAAUAAAACAAGGGAUGACUUCGCCGGUUGGUUUGGUUAUUAAACAGUGGGGAAAUGCAGCCUGGUGGUUGGUUCCGAGCAUCCUGUAGAUGGUGAAUUAGGAUUUUGCAAUAUGACUUUCAUUGCAGAAUACAAGACUGUCUUGGAAAACUCAUGCUCUCUAUGCACAUUUCAAAUCAGUGCUCAAACUGCUGGUGUUUCUGGCUUGGUUCCUGAGAAGAUAACGGUCCAGUGCAUUUGUAGGAGAGAAGUGCCGUGAUUUGAAGUUCAGUCCAGCUCUGAAAUGCAACAGAAUGUUGCCCACUCUCGUAAGUCUGCCGUCACACUGCCAAAACACAGCCCAGUAAGGAUCCCACGGCUGCACCCAAGGAAGCAGAUAUCGUUUGGACAUUUUGAAAACCAAGAAAAGGUGGUUUCUGUGAAGCUGAGGGAAGAAUGUAUCAGUCGCACAGAAGCAGCAAUACUGCUCUGAAGGAAUGAUGAAAUGUGCUUUAUCCUGGCGGUGACCGCAGCUGCUUCACUAUGGGAAAAACUGAGAAGUUGCCCUGACUUACCAUCUGCCACGUUCUGCAGUGGAAGCUGGCCAUGUAGGCCAACCCAAUGUGUGGUUUGAGUUUUCGUUCUGUUUUGUUUUCUUGGGAUCUCGGCACUUGCAUUUUAAAGAAAUUAUCAAGUUAAAGCACAGAUCUUGGUGUUCGUGGGUCUGCUUGUGUGGGCAUGUGCUAUCCUCAGCCUCAUAUGGCUUUGAGCAUUCCUGAAAAAGCCUUUGAUCUGAGUUAGGAUGUUCAGUAUUUCGGAGGACGUGGUACUUGAGGGUACAAACUGUUUAGGAAAUGAGACAGAACUGCAUUUUUACAAGGUUAAGUAGGAAUUGGGAAUGUGCUUCAUGUGCAUUGAGAGGCGCUGGGAACAUCAAAGCGCUCUGUCCCAGAUUGAUUAUUUCAACCACAUGAAUAGGCCACACUGAAUUUACCAUUCAGAUGAGGUAUUUGCACGCAUACGUGCUUUUUGUGAAAGAGGUGGGUUUGUGCACACUGGUUGGUAAUAGCGCGCGUGACUCAAGCUUGUUUUGCAACCGACACUGCACAGCACAGAUUUAUGCCCCCAUAACCCAUACUGUUCAUACCCAAGUACCCAUUUGUGAAGGCAGGGAGAUGUGAAUGUGGGCACAAGACCUGUGCAUAAGGGAUCAUAUGGGUACAUCCAUUCCUCCUUUGACUAAAGGCUUGCACACAGCACUGUUGAACUCAGUGGCAAUACUCGUGUUGUCCUGGAUGGGAGCAGCCAUGGGUACUGCUCCCUCAAACUGUCCCUCACAGGGUAAUGCACUUUCAGUUUCAAUAACUGUUUUAUGACUUGUAUUUCUUCUUUUUUUUUCUUUUUUUUUUUUUUUAAUGUUGAGCUAACUGCUAGAAUGUGCUCUUUUUACAAUGCUUAGUCGCCCAGUAAUUCCAGAUAUCCUUUGAAAGGAGGCAGAAGGAUAAUAAACUGUGGAAUCCCAAACCAGAUUAAUGUAAUGUGCAUUUCUAGAUUAUGAUUAGUAACAAGAUGACACGUUGGCAUGGUAACACUUGAAGCUUAACUACAUGUUCUUAAAAUAAAGCAAUGACAUAUGUGUAGGUUUCUAUCCAUUUGCAUACUAUCCACCUGAAAACAUACACCAUUUCCACAACACUCAGGCAAUUAAACCCUACUUCUUACUUUUGAAUUAAGUGCUAAACUAAAACAUCAUGCCUCUUUCCUAGUACUUAUGCAUAGUCUCCCACCGUAAAUUAUAAAUGUUGAUAAUGAACCUGUCUGUUUUGUAACAUCUUAAGCUUUCUGCCAUUUGGUUUCAUUUUAAAACGAUUAGCAUAAGGAAUGUAGAACGCGCUUCAUUCUUUGUGGUUUGUACCACAUUGAUCUCCUUUAAAUUCUACCACCUCCUAAUAUGAAAAUUGUCUCACUGACAUUGGAAAAGCCUGUUUAUUAAUUAAAUUGAUAGACCAGCGGGUGCAUGUCAUGUGGCUGAGGACUGGGAAUUAAAAUCCCAACAUUACCUCAAAUCAUUGUAAGAAAGCAGUAAAAUUUUUCAUGUGAGAUUACUAGCUGAGACAGAGAGCCUAGCUAUUAUUUUCUAGUUGCCUUAUGGUGAAGAGAAUAGUGUUGUCUAGUUGUUACAGCCUGUUCAGCUUUCUUUCACUAAGCAGAUGUUAACUUGUUUAGGUGUGUUAUCUAUGGUAAGCGUGCCAGGGGAUGCUUUACGUGUAUCGUUGUUUUGUGUUAAACUUUCUCAGAAUGCAAAAUUGGGCACUUUGUUCUGAUUGCUUUAUAUGCACAAUAUUGCCUUGACCAAAUUCCUUACCGUCAAAAUUAAGAAGCUGCUAAGUUCUGCGUAAGUAAACACAAUCUUCUGUCACCCUAAAUAGACAAAAUGGGCAGUGUUACAUGGAAAAUAUGAUUUCCUUGACAGUUCACUUAUUUACGUAUACUCCACUGUAUAGAGCAUUGCAGAAUAUUGAAAAUAGAGCUUACAAACCUUUAAAUCCCAAAUUCUGUUCUUCACAUCACUAUGGAUGGCAGAUACUGGAAGUACAAUGAUUGGCUCCGGUGUGAUAAUCAUGUUACAUUCAGAAUAAUACAAUUGCCAGGAAAUAUUUCACACCUACAGCAAAGUUCCCAGGAUAAACCUCCUGCUAAGGCAUGGCUCAUGUUUGUCCUUGUGGCCUUUUCAAAAAGUGGAAACUCUGAUCUGUAUUUCAUCAAUCUACCUGUAUUUCUCACUUGCAGAUGAAGGAUUUAAGUAUUUGAAUUUGCCAUGGUUGUGGGGUGGAGGGAGGGACAUGUGCAUGCUGGGUUUUGCCACUAAUCCUUUGGAAAUCCUUUAGUGCCUUAAGGAGGCAGAGGGGGAACAGACCUUAGGAUUACAGAAACUUGUUCAAACCUUUUUCCUGCUUUAGCAGAAUUCCUUUAAAAUAUAUCGUGCCUUUGGCUUCAAACACAUUUGCAUUAGAAAUCAGUAGCCAUGGGAUUAUGGACAGGAAGUUUUGUCCCUGCACAAAUGUUAGGAAAGAGAAAUAUAAUGAACUUAAGUUCUACUAGUGGAAUCCAUGCAUAAACCGUGAUUUGACAACUAGGAAAGUUGCAAGGUGCAGGUAAAGUAAAACAAAAAUAAAAAAGAAAAUAAGAAAUAAUAAAAAAAGAAAAUGUAAAUGUGUUGGAUGAAAUGCUUGUACCACUGCAGUGACUGGCAAAUUUCCACUGGCUUCCCUGGGACCAAGAUUUCAUGCUUGCUUCUACUUGGCUCAAGAAAUACUCCCAUAUGAUAGGUACUUAAGCAUCAUGCUUUAACUUUUUCUAUGCACAUAGGAGAGGAAAAGAGAGAUUAGUAGUUGUGGAGAUGCGCCUUGAUUUGGAGUUGUUGGGUUCUGUGUUAUAAAUCUCUGUCCACCAUUGUUUCUCUGUGUAACAUAGACUCUUGCUAUGGGAAUAUGAAUAUGCAAAUGUAAAUUCCCAUGUGAGAGGUUACUGCGCAGUGUGCACUCGCCGAUGCCAAACAACUAUAUUUCUCUGCUCUCUGAAUUGUGAGUUUGUCUUUUUUAAAAAGAGGGUGAAAAAAAGCCUGUGUGAUGCAAUUCAUGUGCUCACUGAUGGUCCUAAGCAGAUCUUAGGAAAAGUUGAAUAAGCUUUUAGCUAAUGAGUGAAUUUUACUUUUUAGAAAUUGAAAGCAAUAUGUUGGUACAGAGGUAAAAAAAAAAAAAAAAAAAAAGACCUGAAAAUCAGAGUGGUGGUUGUCUUCUAUUUUCUCCCUGUGAUUACAAGUUUUAAAGAAUAUGUAAAUAGUUAAAAGAAAAUCAUUACAUGGCUCACAGUAUGUAAGACAAGACCCAGCAUGGAACAGAUUUUUAUAGCUUGUUUAUAAAUUACACUUCUGUCUUUUGUUUGGAACUUGGAAAAAGAAACCAUGUAAAUUAAAUAAGGAGUAAAGACUUACUGCACACAUUUGCUUGACUGAAACAAAGAUAUUUCCCCACCUCCUGAGGUAUUUAUGAGAAAUCUGGGAUGAAUAAUGUAUGGAGAUCUUGCCUUUUGAGCUCUAAUGCUGUGUGGUUAUUUAGCUCCUUUGCACAGAUGACAGAGGGAUGGUAACCAGUGGCCAUGAAGAGCGGUUGUUAGGGCCACAAACUGGGAUCCAUUUGAAGAGGUGCCAAAGAAUGCACAAAAAGGCUGGGGUUUAUGACUGCAGAAGGAGGGGUGUUUGUAAAUAAAUGCAAAAAGUUUAAAGUCUGGCCCACGACCGCCCUGUAACUGGGUGUGGAAUUGGUCUCAGCUAAAUGAGACGCUUCAGAAAUAUCGAAGAGGCCACUCCUCUUUUGAUCUGUUCCUUUAAAACUUGCUGGAUAACUUCUCAGCAAAGAUUUCCGCUCCGAAACAUUUGUCAUAGAUAUCAACUGUACAUAUGUAUUAAUUUUGAGUGUAACUAGGGAGGAUACAGAAUUGUAACGAAGUCACAAAGUCUACUUGAUGAUUAUCACAGAUUUGUAACUCUCACUUAAAUUAUGUAAGAUAUGUUGACAUUUUAUCUUGUUAACAAGAUGUAUUUUUCUAUGUUAGUUAAAUGUAUAAUUUGUAUAAUUUUGUAUAUUAAAUGUAUGCAUAUUUUAAAUUAAAGACUUUAUAAUUUUAA